rnacentral:rRNA from 1 species
UACAGAGGGUGCAAGCGUUAAUCGGAAUUACUGGGCGUAAAGCGCGCGUAGGCGGUUUGUUAAGUUGGAUGUGAAAGCCCCGGGCUCAACCUGGGAUGGUCAUUCAAAACUGGCAGGCUAGAGUGUGGUAGAGGAUAGUGGAAUUCCUAGUGUAGCGGUGAAAUGCGUAGAUAUUAGGAGGAACAUCAGUGGCGAAGGCGACUGUCUGGGCCAACACUGACGCUGAGGUGCGAAAGCGUGGGUAGCGAACGGG